rnacentral:ncRNA from 1 species
CACCUGGUUGAUCCUGCCAGUAGUCAUAUGCUUGUCUCAAAGAUUAAGCCAUGCAUGUCUAAGUAUAAGCUUUAAACGGCGAAACUGCGAAUGGCUCAUUAAAACAGUUAUAGUUUAUUUGGUGAUCGAUUACUAUUUGGAUAACCGUAGUAAUUCUAGAGCUAAUACAUGCGUCAAGGCCCGACUUCGGAAGGGCUGCGUUUAUUAGAUACAGAACCAACCUAGGCUCCGCCUAGUCCUUGUUGGUGAUUCAUAAUAACCCGGCGAAUCGCACGGCUUGUCCGGCGAUGGACCAUUCAAGUUUCUGACCUAUCAGCUAUGGACGUAGGUAUUGGCCUACCGUGGCGUUGACGGGUACGGGGAAUUAGGUUCGAUCCGAGAGGAGCUGAGAACGCUACACAUCUAGAGCAGCAGCGCGCAAUACCAUCUGAUACAGGAGGUAGUGA